CGGGCAGGGGGGUCUCUGUCAAGACGGCAGGGCCUGUCCGGUGGUGCAGGCCGCGCGAAAGCGUGGCCGGUGGUGUCGCUCGGGGGUGAUCGCCG
rnacentral:sRNA from 21 species